UGACUGUGUGUAACCAUAGAGUGCGACAGA
rnacentral:piRNA from 1 species